rnacentral:rRNA from 1 species
UAGAUACCCUGGUAGUCCACGCCGUAAACGAUGAGACUUGACGUUGGUUUGCUUAGCAAAUCGGUGUCGUAGCUAACGCGAUAAGUUCUCCGCCUGGGGAGUACGGCCGCAAGGUUGAAACUCAAAGGAAUUGACGGGGGCCCGCACAAGCGGUGGAGUAUGUGGUUUAAUUCGAUGCAACGCGAAGAACCUUACCUGGUCUUGACAUGUCAAGAAGUCUGCAGAGAUGCGGAUGUGCCUCGGGAACUUG